rnacentral:lncRNA from 1 species
CUAGAUAUUGGGAACAAUCUUUCGCUUUUAACAAUGUACUAUCAACAAAUCGAAAAUCAAUUCCUAUGAAUGAAAAAAUCACACAACCAAGAGUUAAGGAAUGUGGUGAGGGGAAGAUCGUUUGAAAGUGUGCUUGAUGAGAAAAAGUUGUCAUCGGAUAAAUCUUUGGACGUGUAACUUGUAAACGCAGGUGGGGCAAAGGUCUAACUAAAUGGAAUCUCCAAAACCAGCAGAAUUCUCACAAGCUAUGGCCUUGGACUUUGUCGAUAACUCUGUCAGUCGGUGAUUUGAACUUGUGUGAAAAUGGCAAAACUAGAAAGACUAACGGGAUAAAGUCACCUGGUGAACACUGCGACUUUUGACUGGGAUGGAAAGCAAAAGGAGAAUAGUGGGUACAUUUUCUGAGAAAGACGGAUGACUUGAUAUUUGGAUGGGAAGGAGACAAAUCAGGAGCCUCGUCUGUCCAUCAGGAAUCUCCAUCUUCAGUCAAGAGAAGCUGAUGAUGAAGGAACCAUUGACUGAGAAGGAAUUCAAUGGUAGAUUUUCUGGAAGCAAAAAGAUUAGAAUUUAGAAACCAUGGAAUGGCUCCUAGGACAGUAGUAAAAUAAAAGGAAGAUGGAUUUACUGGAAAAGGUAACUUGAAAGAGGCUCAAAAGGUACAAAGGAUAAGUUUUUAUUGGAAUUUAUUGGAUGUUACUCAGAUGGCCAAUGUUCAGAAGAUGAAUUCAGAAAUUUUUAACAUGCUGCACCCGGGACUGGGCACUAUUCAUCAGUAAUUUCUUUUGACAAUGCUGAGGAUUCAAUUGAUGGUUAUGAAGUCUGAUGCCCCUCUGCAAAGAAGAAUAUGAAUAGCUUUCGUGUAGAUAUGUGCAAAAUUGGAGUUAAGAGGGAAAUGUUUGAAGUUGUAUUCUGCUUCUUGUAUCCAAGAUACAACCCACCCUGUGAAGCAAGAAGAAAAAUUUAACCUCGUUGUAGCUGACAGAAGUCCUUCAGAAUUAAUCCCAUGUCCUAGAUGAAACAGAACACGUCAUAAUAUGCCUCACCAGUCAAAUAAUUACCAGCUUCCACUAAGCAUCGUAGAUCAUAAGAAAAAUGAGAAUAGAUGUUCUAUUCCCAAGAAUUUAAAUUUUUAUCAUAAAAAACCGUUUGGGAAGUUCUAUUAGGCAGAACGCCGGUGAUUGGAAUGAUCUGGAAAUAACUAAUAAUGCCGGUCGACCUUGAUAGACCGAUAAUGUCAAAGCAAUCUGGUAAAUUGGAUGGUGGGUUUUCCACACCAUCUGGUGGUACUUCAGGUAUCAUGAAGUUGAAUGCAUUAUCAAAUGGGAAUUCUAAGGGUUUUAUGUAUAUAAGCGCAGAAAGAAAAGCAAGCAAUCACGCAACAAACCCUAUAGAUCUCCCCUAAUGAAAGAGCUUGUGAGAUUGGGACACACUGAAUCUCUACCAGAUUUUUGUCAAAAGAUUUAAGAAGAUGAUGAGUUGCAGCCAAGGAUUGUACAUCUUGUUCAGCCAGAACUUAGACGCCAAAUACUAAAGCAGCAGAAAAAGGUACACAUUUGCCACUUAAUCAACAUUCUUGUAGCUUCAACAUAAUGUAAUGGUCAAUCAAAAGUUGGGUAUCUACUGAAAAAAAAUUCCAGCAGAUUGUGGCAUGAUUAGGCUUUUCAAUGGCAUCGUGUUGCUUAGCUGCUACUCAUUUUAUAACUGACAGAUUUGUGAGAACUAGAAAUAUGUUGGAAGCCAUUGCUCUUGGCAAACCAGGGGUGACACACUUAUGGCUCGAGAGCUGUGAACAAGCUGGCUAUUUCAUUGAUGAGAAAAGUUAAUAUUCGCCUUAAUCUUGCAAGUCCAAGUUAAUAUUCCGCCCCAGCUGUUUCUUAUAAGUAUCUUAUUCAAGAACGGGAAUAGAGAUUGAAAAACAGGCAUAACAGAGACAAACUCUAGAUUUGUGAACUGACUUAAUGAUUUCCAUCCUUUACUGUUGGUCACCAGAUUUUAUUGAUGCUCCUGCAUUCGGCGGAGCAAACAACUAUGCCAAAAGGAUAUCAUCUCCUAAUCGAUUCUGAGGGGCUAUCGCUGUUCAAUAUGGAUAAAGGUCCAUAUCUCGAGCCACCAUAACUCAUUCAUGACACAGAUGACCUUCCCGUUCAAGAAGCCCUUAUUACCACCUGAAUGUGCUGCUGUCCUGUCUGGUUGAUGAAUUGUGCAACUCAAAUCCAACACAACAGAGUUUUGUUAUGUUAGGAUGAGAUUGUUUACAUUUUUAUGAAAAAAUUUAUGUCUUAAACAAGUUUACCCUGCUACUGAUAUUUCAAAUUUGAUACUAGAAAGAAUUGUAUGAAAUGGUAUUGGUUAAUUGUACCAAGACCAAAAGCAUAUAUUUUCUUAUAUAGAAGUUUACAAUGAAGGAUGCACCUUUGUACAAAGAAAGAAUCAUACUAAAGGGAAUGAAUAAAGAUUAAAAGGAAUGAAAAAAGAAAAUAUGUUGUAAUCAAGCAAUCAACGCCUCUUCUUGUAAUCAAGUAAUCAUAUCUCUUCCAAUAUGGUAUGCUGACUGGUAUGCUGUCUGUUAGUUUCUUUAACAUCCCCCCGCAAGUGAAUAGGGGGAAGACAUACCAUGAGCUUGGCCUUGAGAAAGAGAAACCGAGAAGAAGGAAGUCCCUUUGUGAAAAUAUCAGCAAUUUGGUCAUAUGUAGAAAUAAACUUAACGGCAACAUCCUUGUUCAAAACUUUAUCCCGAAUAAAAUGAACAUCCCUUUGGUGAUAAGUAAAAAGCAAGUGAUCAACCAUGGAUCCCAUAAAUCCGAGUUCCAACAGACAUUGAGAGAAUCGAUUAAAGUAAGCUCUAGGAGCCUACUUUAAUCCAUAAAGGGAUUUAUUAAGACGACAUACAUAAUGUGGAUGUUGUGGAUCAACGUAGCCUUGAGGUUGAGAAAUGUAAAUUUCUUCAUCAAGAGUACCUUGAAGAAACGCAUUAGACACAUCCAAUUGCUUGAUAUCCCAUCCAAAGUGUACAGCAAGAAUCAAAACAAUGCGAACAGUGGCAGGUUUGAUGACAGGACUAAAGUCUCAGAAAAAUCAAUGCCACUAAUUUGAUUAUAUCCCUUAGCCACUAAGCAGGCUUUGCGACGAUCGAGAGAACCAUCCUCCUUCUGUUUAGUCUUAUAGACCCACUUAGUGUCAAUAACAUUAUGACCAGUAGGUUGGGGACAAAGGGUCAUGUGUUAUUGGCAAGUAAAGCAGCAUAUUCCUCAUUUAUUGCCUUUUUCCACUCUGCGGAAACUAUUGCGUGUGAGAAAUACAAUGGUUCUUUAGGUAAAGAAAUUGUGGUCAAGGCAGAUAUAGGAUGUUGGGUCGAGUAGUGGGUAACGAAAUCAAGAAAUUGCUUGGGCCGUGAAGAACCAGUUUGUGAUCUUGUUACAAUCUGAUUGGGAGGUGGAAUUGAAUUAGUCGAAGGUAAGUACGAUGAUGUGGAAGGGUGAGAGGAAUCCGUGACUAUAGGUUUGAUGGGAGAGAUGACUGAUUGAAUGGGUGAAGAAUCUUCCACCAAGUGAAAAGAAUUGUCCAAUGGAUGUAAGAUAUAGGAGUUAGAUACUUGUUCACGAGGGGAGUGAUGGAAAUCGAUGGUAGGAGAUAUGCAUUCGGUGAGGGAAGAGUGACCUGUUCAAAUGAGCUGCUUCGAAGAAAUAUUGGACACACAAUGUGUGAAAGAUCUUACAGUGGACGAGUGACAAGGGACUAUCCUUGGCUGGAAAAAGUAUCUCAUCAAACACUACAUAUCGUGAUAAGUAUACUCUCUUUGAGAUGGGAUCAAGACAUCGAUAACCUCUAUGAUAAGAUGAGUAGCCUAUGAAGAUGCACUAUUUACUACAGAAGGCGAGCUUGUUUGUAUUAUAGGGUCUAAGGAGAGGGUAACAAGCACAUCCAAAACAUUUUAAUUGAGAGUAAUCAGACUGUCUUUUGAAGAGAAGACUGUAAGGAGAGUUGGAAUGUAAAACGGGAGUUGGAAGUCGAUUGAUGAGAAAUAUGGCAGUGCAAAGGGUAUCAACCCAAAAUUGUUUUGGAAGAUUGGAUUGAGUUAAUAAAGAUAACCCGAUUUCCAUAAUAUGGCGAUGGAGAAUACCAUGAGAAUUGAGGAACGAAAUGAAUUGCUUUGAAGUAUAUUCUCCACCAUUAUCGAACUGAAAUUGUUUAAUUUUGCAAGAGAAAAGGUUUUCCACUAAUAGUUUAAAUUUGACAAAACAGUUAAAAACUUCUGACUUAGUGGUAAUAGGAUACAUCCAAGUAAAACGUGAAUAAUCAUCAAUAAAAAUAACAAAAUAUCGACAACCACUCGAAGAAGGAAUCGGAGAAACCCAAACAUCGAAAUGAACAAGAUCCAAUGGACUAACUGACACUCUAUUGGGACUGAUUAAAUGGUAAUUGUUUAUUUUUCCCUAGUUGACAAGAAGGACAAACAGACUCUUCAGACAAGGAUCCAGCAACUAGAAGCUUGAAGGAGGAAAAAUAAUUUGGUUGGUCACUUGUGAAGAAGGAUGGCCAAGACGAGCAUGCCACACAUCAAGAGGAGCUUUGAUCCAAAAAAAAACUACACUAGCAUGAUAAUUAUUAGGAGAAACUUUAUUUAAUUUGAUAGGAUAGAGACCACUUCACUUGUUCCCUCAAGAAGCUUUUUUCCAGUUAUCUUGUCCUCGACACAUUAAUGAGUAUCAGUUAGAAUAAAUAACAAUUGUUAUUUAUGUAGAAUUUGUUAAUAGAGAGCAAAUUGAUCAAGGCAUUAGGACAAUGUAGGAUAUUUUUAAAGGAUAAUUCUUUACGAGGAUUUUGGAUAGAGAAGGAACCGAUAUUGGAAAUGGAGAGACCAGAUCCAUUACCUACAGCUACCGAAUCCUCACCAGUGUAAGGUUCCUGCAAAGAUAACUUGGCAACUUCAUUUGUAAUAUGCUGGGUUUGCCCUAAUCAGCAUACCAUAUGUUGGACUCCUCAAAAAUAUGGUUGCUCUGAGCAACCAUUGCAGUAAGUUGAGCUGGUGGAUAGUGUCCUUGAUAACUGUAAUCCAUGCGAUGGUAGCAGUCCCAGGAUUGGUGACUUGUUUUUCCACAAAUCUUACAAGGAUUGCAAGUAUGAGAGUUGUCGUUCCCACUGGGCAUCAGAUUGGAUGGCCCUUCUUGCGCUUUUGAAGGUCCUUUGAAAAUUUUGGCUUGAAUGAACCAUGUCUUGGAGAGCUUUUAGGAGGAUAAUUUGGUUUGUUAUGCCACUAUCCUCCCUUACGUGAAUUUCUACCUGCAAUCAUAGCAAAUGCCACUAACUCCUCCAUAACAGCCCAUAACAGCCACCACAUUCUCCGGAUUCUUUCCACUCAAAGCUGCCACCAAUGCCUUCUUAAAAUUCUGUACUGUUGAGCCUCCUCUCCACUCUCUUUCCCUAUUUUUCCCACACAAAGCAAAGUCAGAGUCUUAUUAUGACUCUCCAUGAAAUACAAUUUUCCACCUCCAAUCAUAUCCCAUAUCUUCAGAAAAUUACCACCCGCUGUAGCAAUUAAACCCCCAAAUGGCAAGAAAAGCACACUUUCAACAGGUUUUUCAAGGUUGCUUUCAUAACAGCCCCCGAAUUCGAAACCAAACAUCCCAAAUACUUAACUAGUGGUCGUAUGAUCCCGAACAUAUCAUCACUCACAGGGUAAGCAUCACCGCACCGGACAUAAUUCUUAUGGCCAAGAGAUCAAAAAGACAUGUUUCACUGGUAACAUCCCAAUACUUCACAACAGAAUCAUCACCGCCGGAGAAUAAUUGAAACUUGUCAUCGGCACGUGGGUUAGCUCACAAGGCGCGCCGCCGCAAAAUGACCCUUCAAACGGCGGCGAUGGGUCCUGGACUUCGCAUCAAACGAACGAAUUUUCCCAGUCAAAUCUCCAGCAGCAAGAAGCUUCCCAUCACAGCGGAAGUAGCAUAAUCAGAAAAGGCAGAGGCGAUAGUAGGCCUGACCUUGAGGUUCGGCCACAAAACACAGAAACAUUAGCUGACGGAACGGGGGGCGGCGGCGGCGAAAUGAGCAAUUGGGGAAAACAGUAAACUACAGAUAUAAACGCAGUCACCUCAUCGCCCUUAAGAAAUCUCAGAUCACAGCUUACCGGUUCUCAUACAAAAACAAACUGGCCAGAAGUCCACAAGGAAACAAAAAAUUGAAACUAGAUUUGGUUCGGGGCUCUCCCUAAUGGGAAAGACCCCUCCAAAAAUAGGCGUAUGCCGCUGUUUUGCGGCGAGCACACGGUAUUCUUUAGUAAAAGGCGAAAGAAUAGUUCGCUCUGUGUUCACCGCACGGCUGCGUGGCUUAGAAUUGUCAGAAGCCGUUCAUUUUAUAAGCACUUUUUGGCUGGUCU